rnacentral:tRNA from 2 species
GAGGUGUUAGUAAAAUAAUUACAUAACCUUGUCAAGGCUAAGUUGCAGGCGAAAAUCCUGCACACCUCC